UACGUAGGGCGCAAGCGUUGUCCGGAAUUAUUGGGCGUAAAGAGCUCGUAGGCGGCUUGUCACGUCGGAUGUGAAAGCCCGGGGCUUAACUCCGGGUCUGCAUUCGAUACGGGCUAGCUAGAGUGUGGUAGGGGAGAUCGGAAUUCCUGGUGUAGCGGUGAAAUGCGCAGAUAUCAGGAGGAACACCGGUGGCGAAGGCGGAUCUCUGGGCUAUUACUGACGCUGAGGAGCGAAAGCGUGGGGAGCGAACAGG
rnacentral:rRNA from 1 species